CGACCCCAGUUCAGGCGGAUUUCCCGU
rnacentral:rRNA from 1 species